rnacentral:rRNA from 1 species
GUCCAGACUCCUACGGGAGGCAGCAGUGGGGGAUAUUGCACAAUGGAGGGAACCCUGAUGCAGCGACGCCGCGUGGGUGAAGAAGCGCCUCGGCGCGUAAAGCCCUGUCAGCAGGGAAGAAAAUGACGGUACCUGAAGAAGAAGCCCCGGCUAACUACGUGCCAGCAGCCGCGGUAAUACGUAGGGGGCAAGCGUUAUCCGGAUUUACUGGGUGUAAAGGGGGCGCAGACGGCAGCGCAAGCCAGGAGUGAAAGCCCGGGGCCCAACCCCGGGACUGCUCUUGGAACUGCGCGGCUGGAGUGCAGGAGGGGCAGGCGGAAUUCCUGGUGUAGCGGUGAAAUGCGUAGAUAUCAGGAGGAACACCGGUGGCGAAGGCGGCCUGCUGGACGGUGACUGACGCUGAGGCUCGAAAGCGUGGGGAGCAAACAGGAUUAGAUCCCCCAGUA